rnacentral:rRNA from 1 species
UACGUAGGAUGCAAGCGUUGUUCGGAAUUACUGGGCGUAAAGAGUACGUAGGCGGUUUGAUAAGUCUGAUAUUAAAGACUGAGGCUUAACCUCAGGAGUGUAUCGGAAACUGUCAGACUAGAGGACAAUAGAGGAAGUCGGAAUUCUCAGUGUAGCGGUGAAAUGCGUAGAUAUUGGGAAGAACACCUGAGGCGAAGGCGGGUUGCUGGGCCGACACUGACGCUGAGGCGCGAAAGCCAGGGGAGCAAACGGG